AUUUAGGUAGUUUAAGUAAAAUUUUGGCUUGUGGCGCUAAAGAUGCAUGUUAAUGUCCUAGAUA
rnacentral:tRNA from 1 species